UGGUUCUGGCAUCGAUGAAGAACGCAGCGAAAUGCGAUAAGUAAUGUGAAUUGCAGAAUUCAGUGAAUCAUCGAAUCUUUGAACGCACAUUGCGCCCGCCAGUAUUCUGGCGGGCAUGCCUGUUCGAGCGUCAUUUCAACCCUCAAACCCCCGGGUUUGGUGUUGGAGAUCGGCAUGAGUCCUUCGGGGCGACGCCGUCUCCCAAAUAUAGUGGCGGUCUCGCUGUAGCUUCCUAUGCGUAGUAGCACACCUCGCACUGGAAAACAGCGUGGCCACGCCGUUAAACCCCCCACUUUCUGAGUUUGACCUCGAAUCAGGUAGGAUUACCCGCUGA
rnacentral:misc_RNA from 1 species